UUAUGUUUCACUUUCCUACAAGACGACUUCCAUCAUUGUGUAUCUCCCUAGUUGCAGCCGACCAGUAUUUAGGCGACUGGAAUAGUCGACUUGCGUUUAUCUUAGUGUCACGUGUGAAAGUCCUUAUUGACCACGGUUACACACGAUACAUAAGUUGACGGGCUCCAACUUACUGUUUUUAUUUUGGUGUAUUUAAAAUUUAUAAAAUGUGCUGUUCCUAUUUCUGUAAUAUUUUGGUGAAUUUGCUGACUUGGCUUCACCUGUCUGUACGUUUAUUAAAGCAAG